GGCAAUUUGGCCGAGUGGUCUAAGGCGCAGUGUUAAGGUUACCCUUGAGAAAGAAAUUCUAACCAAUUUCCCGCUGUCUUCGGGCGUGGGUUCGAAUCCCACAGUUGUCA
rnacentral:tRNA from 1 species